AAUAUUUACAUAGAACAUCUUUAUGCCCCCUCCUCUAUCUACAUAGAGGGGAGGGGGGAUAAUGAUGUAAUAUUUACAUAGAACAUCUUUAUGCCCCCUCCUCUAUCUACAUAGAGGGGAGGGGGAUAAUGAUGUAAUAUCUACAUAGUGGAGGGGUGUUAAGGAAGUUAUAUCUACAUGGAGGAGGGGAGGGGGGAUAAGAAUGUUCUAUCUACAUAGAGGAGGGGUGUUAAGGAUGUUCUAUCUACAUAGAGGAGGGGUGUUAAGGAUGUUCUAUCUACAUGGAGGAGGGGAGGGGGGAUAAGAAUGUUCUAUCUACGUAGAGGAGGGGUGUUAAGGAUGUUCUAUCUACAUAGAGGAG
rnacentral:lncRNA from 1 species